GCGUCUGGACACAAGCCCUCCUCCAAACCGUCGCGUUCCCUCUCCUCCUCCUCCCUUUCCUCAUCCUCACCGCCAAGAACCGCCGCGACCAACACCCUUCCGACCACUUCCACUACAAAUCCCUCACCGUGAUCUACAUCUGCAUCGGAAUCGUCAUGACGGUCCAAGCUAGGCUCUCCGCCAUGGGAAAGCUCGAGAUCCCCUUCGGCGUUUUCACCCUCAUCUACACGACGCAGCUCUUCUUCACUCCGAUUCUCGCGCGCCUCGUCAACAAGAUCAAGUUCAACCGGUGGGUCGUGAUCUCCUUGGCUCUGGCCAAACGACGCAGCUCUUCUUCACUCCGGUCUUCGCGCGCCUCGUCAACAAGAUCAAGUUCAACCGGUGGGUGGUGAUCUCCUUGGCUCUGGCCAUCGCCACCGGAGCUCUCACGUUAUCCUCGGCCUUCGCCGGGGAGCCCGACGAAGCCGAGGAGAAUUACGCGAGAGGCGCGUGGGCUGCUCUCU
rnacentral:lncRNA from 1 species